UAUUUCCCACCAGCAAGAAAUGAGUUUGAUUUACCAACCCCCCAUGAAAAAAAAACUUGGAUGUCAAAGCUGUGUCAGAUCCUCAGAUCUUCAGUUGGCCGGAUGUCCUUAAAGACUUUUCUUGUGGGAUUCCAUGAAAAGACCAUAAUGCGCUGGACGAGAGGCAGCCGUGUCAGGUGCUGGUAAGAAGGACUUGCACACCUUCCAGGGAGCUGCGAUGGGACUCACUGGGGCUGUAGACGUGAACAGAAACCUCCAUGAUGCUCCGUCUAAACGUCAGCCCUGGACAGCCCUGAAGCUUUUUGUUUAAAAUCUCUGUGGUGUUACAGAGGCAGCCACGAGCUGCCAGAUCUAACACGACCCAUGGAGGCUUGGCCUCAACUUCUCCAUCACUGCGGCCACUGGUAA
rnacentral:lncRNA from 1 species